CAUAUAUCAAUGGCCUCCAGGAUGGAGACGGUGGAGGAGCAGAAGGGGAUGGGGAGCAGGACGGAGGCCCAGAGAGAAGAGAGAAGGCCCACCCAGCUGAGCAGGGGAUACAGGCAGGAAAGAGGGGCCAGGCUGCAGGAGAGAGAGGAAUGAGAAAAUACAGGCAGGGAGCGAGAAAGAGAAAGAAAAAAUAGUGGAGAGGGGGAGGAAUUAAAAAAUGGGGGCAGGGAGCCAGACAGAGUGCGACGGGGAGAGACCAAAAUUAGCAAUUCUGGGCAACUGCCCCCAUUUCUUGAGCACUCCCCAGGAAAUGCAUUACCGGGAGCCUCAAGGAAUGUGCUGCCUGCCAAAGCCCUGCCCUGGCCCCAGUCCUGUGCCCUAGUAUUGGUGACGAGCAUUGCCUUGCAUAGUGGCCAGGACUGAGGGAAGAAAAGGACAGCUGGGGGGAAAAAAAUCACCGAGCUGGGUUUUGGUUUUGUUUUGGUUUUUUUUUCUUGAUGGUUUUGCUUUUAAAAAGAAUAGUAUUUAAGCUCUAAAUACAAACUGCAAGGAAAAAGGAACCAGGCGUACCAGUCUGGACACAUUUAAAGCCUGAACCCAUUCAACAGCUGCACCACCCACCACUCCUGCUGCCCACACUCCACCGCCUGCCUGCAGGCUGGGUUAAAGACUCAUCCAUCAAGUGCUGGCUCAGGACCAUGCCGGGGCAAAUGGCACUGCUUUUCUGGAUCCCAUGGCAGCGAUGGGCAAAGGAACAGGGAGACCCAGUGGAGUCGUAGCGUGCGCUGGAGAGUGUUCUUCAGGAAGGUGACAGCCGAUUGCAGAGCAACGCUGAGACGCACCUGACAGCAAAGGUGCCCGGUGGCCACGGACGAGCCUAGGUGAGCUGGUUCUCUUGGAGGCCAAGCAAAGCAGCCUUCCUCUGCCCCUGGUUUUGUGAGAUAUG